rnacentral:rRNA from 1 species
AAACUCUACAAUGCAGGCAACUGCGAUAGGGGGACAUCGAGUGGCGCCCACCUUGGGCGCCUGUCCCACCGUCUAAAAAACGGUGGUUAGCAAGGGCCGGGUAAGACCGGUGCCAGCCGCCGCGGUAAUACCGGCGGCUCGAGUGGUGGCCGAUAUUAUUGAGUCUAAAGGGUCCGUAGCCGGCUCCGUGGGUCCCCCGGGAAAUCCAGCGGCUUAACCGUUGGGCGCCCGUGGGAUACCGCGUUGCUUGGGACCGGGAGAGGUGGGAGGUACUCGGGGGGUAGGGGUGAAAUCCUGUAAUCCUCCGGGGACCACCGGUGGCGAAGGCGUCCCACCAGAACGGGUCCGACGGUGAGGGACGAAAGCUAGGGGCACGAACCGG